GGGCCCGCACAAGCGGAGGAGCAUGUGGCUUAAUUCGAUGCAACGCGAAGAACCUUACCCAGGUUUGGCAUGUACCUGCACGGCCUAUGAAAGUAGGCUUCCUUCGAGGGUGGUACACAGGUGCUGCAUGGCUGUCGUCAGUUCGUGCCGUGAGGUGUUUGGUUAAGUCCAGCAACGAACGCAACCCCUAUGUUGUGUUGCCAGCGGGUAAUGCCGGGGACUCGCAACAGACUGCCCGUUUACGCGGGAGGAAGGUGGGGAUGACGUCAAGUCAGUAUGGCCCUUACAUCUGGGGCUGCACACGUGCUACAAUGGCCGGUACAAAGGGACGCAAGACCGCGAGGUGGAGCCAAUCCCCAAAACGGCCCCAGUUCAGAUUGGAGUCUGCAACUCGACUCCAUGAAGCCGGAUUCGCUAGUAACGGCGCAUCAGCUACGGCGCCGUGAAUACG
rnacentral:rRNA from 1 species